rnacentral:lncRNA from 1 species
GUGUUCUUCCCAGAAAUGGUGUGUGUUUUCACUUAACAUGACCAAUAGUACCUACUCAUCGUCAGCCUUUAUGAUAUAUAGGCCUUCUUUGUUACCAUUAUUGAAAACUUAUGUAUGGCCUUAUUGAUGUUCCAUAUAAUUAGUAGGAUCACUUUGAGAUUUUGUGUAUGAAAAUCUGUGUGGAGAAUUAUUUUCUUCAAGAUAUUUGGCUGUUUAUUACCUUGGACAUGCUGUUGGAUUUUCUUCAUCAUUGUAUAUGAUCUACUGGAUUCCUUUUCUACUUAGUUAUUAUGUGUCUCCACUCUUGGUAAUCAGUCGUCUUCUUGUACUAUAUAUUUCUGGUUUCUUUAUCUUGACUGUAAACUUUCCAUAUUCAUAACUAGAAACAAACACAUUCUUCCACUUUUAAAGAAAAGCUAUAUUUUUCAUAGAAUGAACCAAAUAUACAUACCUGUGAAUAUUCCCUUAAAUUCCCUUUAAUCAUCCUCAUUUUGUAUUAUGACCUCCUUUCUUCCUGUGAGUAUCAGUACAAAUCUGUGACUCUUUGUAGGCUUAACUUCUUACUUUAAUUUCCCUCUCCUUUUGUAGAUUUUCAGAAUAUUUCAAUUUAGCCAGAGAACGUGCUUGAAGCUUAUUACGUCUUUGUUUUCUGUUAAUUUAUAAAACAUUGCUUUUAACAUUUCUAGCAACAUCCUUGCUUUGUUACAUAGGAUGUUUUGAACCAUCCUCAUUUUUUUUUCUCUGACAUGUUACAUAGGACCUGUGCCCAUCAAGGAGUCCUGGUUCCUUUCAAUGGAGAACAGAAAUACACCUCAAAGUCUGUCAUGAGGGGUGCACAAAAGAAUUUGUAGUGGACAAGUAUCCCUGCAAUUUUAAUAGUGACAGAAUGAGAGAACAUGAAAUUGCCCUGGCUUUUCCCAUUUUAAACCUUUGUUUUUAUGUAUUAUUUUUCUUAGGAGGUAUCAUUGAACCAGAAGAUUUUUCUUUACAUUUACGAAGAUUAGCCAAGAUGUUCUCUUUGAAAAUAAGAAUUAGGAAAAGGGGACCUGCUUGCCCAGAUACCCAAAUGCACUUUCCAAGCAAUAGUGACUUAACUGGCCCUAUACUGACCCAGAGUAGGCAAGUUGGUCAAUGGAGCAGAGUUUAUAGUCCCCCCCCAAAAAACAUUGAUUUGCCCAUUGAAAUUACUAUGAUUGAGGUAAAAUUUUACUACAAAUUAGGAAAGAAUAAAUUUAAUGAA